UACGGAGGGGGCUAGCGUUGUUCGGAAUUACUGGCGUAAAGCGCGCGUAGGCGGACUUGCAAGUCGGGUGUGAAAUCCCCGGGCUCAACCUGGGAACUGCAUCCGAGACUGCAUGCUAGAGUAUGGGAGAGGGAAGCGGAAUUUCUGGUGUAGCAGUGAAAUGCGUAGAUAUCAGAAGGAACACCGGUGGCGAAGGCGGGUCUCUGGGCCGAUGACUGACGCUGAGGAGCGAAAGCGUGGGUAGCAAACAGG
rnacentral:rRNA from 1 species